UAAAAAAAGAUUAGUGCUUACACAUAUGGUAAAUGUAUUGAAGAGAUCAGACUUUGGUGAUAUGAACUAGGUCCGAUACAAGCAAUAAAUCUCCAAGUUUUCCCUUGGAUAUGGAAAAGCGUCACCAAUGAUAUUGUUUUCAUCAGCACUGCAGCUCAAUUUAUUUUCAUUAUAUACCACAAUGUUUUAUUUUGGGAUUCUGAAAACCCUUUUAUUGGAAAAUUAGGUCAUUACAGCAAUUGUGUUAUCUCCCUCCACCUUCCUCCAAUGUGCUGAUCAAAUCGCCCCCAGUUCAGGAAAUCAUCAAACAAAUGAGAAUGCUUACUCCACACAUUUAUGUGUCCACAGCUGCCCUUUAAUGAUGUUGUAUCUGUUACCACUGUGGUUUCAAGUAACAUUUUUCUCCUUUCACUUUGGAUGAUGUCCUCCAACAAAUAUUUGCAUGUAAACAGUAAAAAGAAAAAUAUAUUUUUCUGAUCUAAUUGUAUGAUACUUUUGUUUUCUCCUCCUCAAGUUUAAAGAUGCUCAAUGACUGUAGGAAGAAGAUACUGGAUUUUCAAAAUAACAUUUGAUGAAAGCAAUUGCCAUGCAGUGAUGAGAACAGGUUUGGGAGGCUCAAGACCUGGUGUGACAUCCUGACUCCAAUUGGUGUAAGCUGCAUUGCUCUGCUCAAAUGAUUCAAACACUAUAAACUGCAGUUGCACAUUGGUAAUACCUACUUCAUUGGUAUGUAAGAUUUGAAAAUGUUCAUAAACCACCAAGCACUAUGUAAGCAUUAGUUAUUCUUAUUAUGACUUUUUUAUUCCUUCUAUAGGGAAAAGAGUGCUAGAAGUUAUAGCUAGGAAUUCUAGUUACUAUACAAUUCCAUAAACGAUAUUGUGAAAAAGCUUAAAUUCUAAGAUCAAAGAUAAUACUUAUUCAGUAGGGUUUAUAUGUAUGUUUAUAUAUAUAUAUAUAUUUUUACUCAGAGCAAAUAAUAUGGUCAGUAAAAUGGGUGACAAUUGUAAACACAAUGACCAUUAGUGUUGUAAAGUACAUGUCAGCCUAGGAUGUAAAAUAACUUUAUUGAAUAAAACCUUUCUAGCUACAUAAUAUCUAAAGGUUACUGUGUUAAUAUACACACACAAACACACACACAGAAAUAGCACUGAAAAUAAAAUAAAUGAAGAUGCUAUUAAGUUCAAAUGAUGAUGAAAUUGACCCCCAAGUCAUGGGAGUAGGUAAGCAGUAGAGAGCCAGUGGUCUUCUGAAGUCUGUAGCCCUGGGGCCUGACCCAGUCUCAGAUAGUCCCCUCAAUUCAAGAUAAAUUUAAAUGCAAUAGACUAUAAUCCAGGUCUACAUAUUUCCAGAUCAAGCUAUUUUCCCUUCUCCUUGCCAAGUGCAAUAACAAAGUUUGGUUCUGAAAUUCCCCAACGGACUGUUUAGCCUGGCUUUGGGCCCCCACAUAGAGUGUGACAGCAGCCAUGCAGUGAGGGCUUUCACCCCAGGGAAGGUGAUGGUAAGCGUUCAGAAGAUGUGUGCAUGAGGUAAGACAAGUCUUUGCUUCAUAAAGUGUUGUGUGUAUUGUGAGUUGUUUCACUUCUCUUUCUCCCCACAUCAAAUUAUAGUAAGGUCUAAAAGUGAAUAACAAAAAACAGACUUCACAACACAUUUCUAAAUGAUUCCUGGGAGGAAUUCCCACCCAAAUUGAGAAGCUUGGAGUUUUAAGAUGGUUGUUGCUGAGGUCUGACUCUUAAGAGCAAUCUGAGAACCCCUUUCUUUCAUCUGAACUCAGACUAUGCUCUUAGACCUAGAAAAAAAGGGGUUUCAGUGUCCAAAAGCUGAAAGGCUAUGUUGUAGACAUAUAAUGUUUCAUGGACGGCAAAGCACCUGAAGGCUGUGCCUACAUACAGACAAAGCGUGUCCCUAAUUAUAGGUUGAUAGAGGCCAAGAUUUAACUUUCCAAUCCCUCAUUAAAAUAUAAAGGCCUGUGACCUUGCCUACCAGCCAAGGAAUGUGUCUGGUCUUAGGGACAGAAACGACCUAGGAAUGGAGGCUUUUAUGUUCUUGUGGGCAGGAGGUGCAGUAGGAGAAUCAGCUACCAGGGAUGGCCCACAGCACAGUGGAGAUCUCAUGUACAGUGUUGGAAGCAGUGGCAACAGCAUUCAGGCCCUCACUAGAUUAAGUCUGCAGCUUCAUUUGUGCAGUGGUUCUGGCUUAGGAGCCUCUCCUUAUUUUUGUCCUUUGAGCCUGAUUCUCCAAUCUUCCUGGAAAUCUAUGACUCACUCCCUAUCUUUUCAGUAAGGAUUUUUUUUUUUUCUGCCUAAAGAAGCAUUCACUCGGUUGUGGUAUGGAUUGCAUGAUUAUGUCCCCUUCCAACUCAAAAAAAUACCUAUAUGUUGAAACCAUAAUGCUCAAUGGGAUGGUAUUAGAAGGUAGGGCCUUUGGGAGAUGAUUAGAUCAUACAGGUGGAGUCCUUAUAAAUGGGAUUAAUGCCCUUGUAAGGAGAAUUAUAAAGAAAUUGCUUCCUCUUUCUCUGCUCUUAGUCAUAUGAGGAGACAAGGAGAAGAUGUCCAUCUGGAAACCUUCAGGAAGUGGAUCUUCACCAGACACCAGAUCUGCUGGUACUUUGUUCUGGACUUCUCAGUCUCCAGAACUGUGAGAAAUAAGUGUCUGUUGUUUAAGCCAUUCAAUCAAUAGCAUUUUGUCAUAUCAUCCUAAACUGUCUCGUGGUGUUUGUAUUGUUUCAACCUAAAGCCCUGAAUGAUGUGAAUGGUUAACCAUUUAUAAACUACUGAAGUUGACUCAGCACAUUAUCUUGUACAUGGUGGACCACUCAUACCAGAGGUUAGUAGGUUUUUCCAGUUAAACCUUCUAAUCAUGCAGUAAACAUUGUCUGCGCACCAAUAAGUGCCAGGUACUCUUCUCGGUGCUGGGGAUGCAAAAUGACACAAACCUCAGUCUUGCCCAGGAGCUCAUCAUCUCCUAAAAAUAAACAAACAAAAAAGCAAAUCUAUACAUUUGUGUGUUAGUACUAAAACAGAGGUAUGGUCCAGGAUUUAUGUAAACUGAUGACCUUAGUUCUUUGUUGGUUACACACAUUGAAAAUAUAUUCUUACAGUUUAUGGUCUUUUGUUUCACUUUUUAAGGUGUCUUUUAUGUAGAGUUCAUUAUGUUGUAUGUAUUUAUAAUCCAGGAUUAUUAAAAUGCUUGCCUAUAUGUUUUUUGCCUAAAUGUUUUAGGUUUUCUCUAUAUUAAAAAAUUAAUUUAGCAAAUGUUUUCUUGAAUCUAUUGAAGUGAUUUUAUGGUUCUUCUCCUUUAAUGGACUAAUGAAGAUAAUUACUUUAAAAGAUUUUUAAAUAUUAAACUAUACCAGCAUUCCUGGCAUACACCCAAAUGAGUCCUGAAUCUUUCAUAUAUUACUGGAAUCAAUUUGUUAAUAUUUUGUUUAAAAUUUUUACAACUAUGUCCAUAACUUGAAUUGUUGUAUAAUUUUCAUUUAUCAUCUGUCUUGGCUUGGUUUGAUACCAAGAUUAUCUCAGCUUCAUAAAAUAAGUUCAAGUGAAUCAUCUGUUUCCAAGUUCUCUGGAACAGUUUGUGUAAGUGUGGAAUAGUUCUUAUCUUAUUUCCUGAAACUUGACUCUAAAACCUUCCGAGUAAGUUGCCAUUUUUGUGAGUAGAUUCAGCCAUUUCUCUCUUAAGAAUCAUUGUAUCUCUGCUAUAAUUACAUAUUGAAUAUAAAAAGCAUUAAUUGCACCACUUACUAUACACCUCCCCACUGCUCUUAUUCUUCAUUCUAGUUCUUCUCUCAGCAAUUCACCUUCCUUAUGUGUUUUUCAGAAAUAGCCAUUUUCAGGAGAAUGGUGUGAACCUGGGAGGCGGAGCUUGCAGUGAGCCAAGAUCAGGCCACUGCACUCCAGCCCGGGCGACAGAGCAAGACUCCAUCUCAAAAACAAAACAAAAUAAAAACAAAACAAAAACAAACAAACAAAAACAAAACCAGAAAUAGCCAUUUUAUGUACUGUCUGAAGUGAUCUCAUCCAAACUUGUUUUUUUCUAUACAACUAAAGAAACUGAGAGAAUGGAGCAUAUCUGGGUUCAGGAAAUGACCCUUCAAUAUAUUCAGGGCACUGAUGGUUCCCAUCUUACAGAACACAUGCACUAUCCAAUUCCUGAGUGUCCAUUGAGAGAAUAUAAGGUCUUUUCUGCAAAAUCAUUUGCCAAUAUUCAAAGAGCACUUCUUAUACACAGGCUCAGAGCCAGGAUCUGGGAUGAGUAAAGAAGGUACAUGAUCCUCCUCCACCAUUAGCCUUCAAUGUUUCACAGUGUAUUAGUUCAUUCUCACAUUGCUAUAAAGAUAGUACCUGAGACUGGGUAAUUUAUAAAUAAAAGAGAUUUAAUUGACUCACAGUUCUGCAUGGCUGGGGAAGCCUCAGGAAACUUAUAAUCAUGGCAUAGCACAAAGGAGAAGCAAGGAGCUACUUCACAAGGCAGCAGGAGAAAGAGUGAGUGCACAGAGGAAACUGCCAUUUUUAAAACCAUCAGGUCUCACAAGAACUUCUUCACUAUCAUAAGAAUGGCAAGGGGGAAACCACUCCCAUCAUCCAAUCACCUACCACUAGGUUCCUCCAUUGACACAUGGAGAUUACAAUUUGAGAUGAGACUUGAGUGGACACGGAUCCAAACCAUAUCAUUCUGCCCUUGACCCCUCCAAAAUCUCAUUUUUUUUUUCACAUUUGAAAACCAAUCAUGCCUUCCCAACAGUCCCUCAAGAUCUUAACUCAAGCCAGGAUUAACUCAAAAGUCUAAGUCCAAAGUCUCAUCUGAGACAAGGAGAGUCCUUUCCACCUAUGGGCCUGUAAAAUCAAAAGCAAGUUAGUUACUUCCAAGAUACAAUGGGGGUACAGGCAUAGGGUAAAUGUUCCCUUUCCAAGUGGGAGAAAUUGGCCAAAACAAAGGAGCCAGAGGCCCCGUGCAAGUCUGAAACUCAGCCAGGCAGUCAUUAUGUCUUAAAGCUCCCAAAUCUCCUUGGAUUUCAUGUCUCACAUCCAGGGCACACUGAUGCGAGGGGUGGACUCCCAAGACCUUGGGAAGCUCUGCCUCUGUGGCUCUGGAGGGUACAGCCCCUGCAGCUGCCUUCAUGGUCUGGUAUUGAAUGCCUGUGGCUUUUCCAAGCACAUGGUGCAAGCUGUCGGUGGAUCUACCAUCCUGGGGUCUGCAGUAUGGCAGACUUCUCACAGCUCCACUAGGCAGUGCCCCCAUGCAACCUCAAUAUUGGGGCUCCAACCCCACAUUUCCCCUUUGUAAUGCCCUAGCAGAGGUUCUCCAUGAGGGCUCCACCCCUCCAGCAGACAUUUGCCUGAACAUCCGGGCAUUUUUAUACAUCCUCUGAAAUCUAGGCAGAGGUUUCCAAAGCUCAACUCUUGUCUUCUGUGCACCCACAGGCGCAACAUCACAUGGAAGCCACCAAGGCUUGGGGCUUACACCCUCUGAAGCAACGGCCUGAGCUGUAUCUUGGCCCCUUUUAGCCAUGGCUGCAGCUGGAGUGGCUGGGGUGCAGGGCACCAAGCUCCAAAGCUGCACAGAGAGGAAGGGCCCUGGGCCCAACCCACAAAGCCAUUUUUCCGUGCUAAGCCUCUGGGCCUGUGAUAAGAGGGGCUUCUGUUAAGAUCUCUGACAUGCUCUGGAGAGAUUUUCCCCAUUGACUUGGCUAUUAACAUUUGGCUCCUUAUUACUUAUGCAAAUUUCUGCAACCAGCUUGAAUUCCUCCCCAGAAAAUGAGUUUUUUCUUUAUAGUCAGGCUGCAUAUUUCCCAAACCUUUAUACUCUGCUUCGCUUUUAAACAUAAGUUCCAAUUUGAAACCAUCUUUUUUUGAAUGCAUAUAACUGAAAACAUUCAGAACAAUACAGCUCACUUCUUGAAUGCUUCGCUGCUUAGAGAUUUCUUUUGCCAGAUACCCUAAAUUAUCUAUCUCAAGUUCAAAUUUCCACAGAUCUGUAGGGCCGGGGCAAAAUGCUGCCAUUCUCUUUGGUAAAGCAUAACAAGAAUUACCUUUAUUCCAUUUCUCAACAACUUCCUCAUCUCCAUCUGACACCACCUCAGCCUUGACUUCAUUGUCCAUAUCACUAUUAACAGUUUGGUCAAAACCAUUCAACAAGUCUGAAGAAGUUCCAUACUUUCCUAUACCUUCCUGUCUUCUUCUCAGCCCUCCAAACCGUUCGAACGUCUGCCUGUCACUUGGUUCCAAAUUUGCUUCCACAUUUUCAGGUUAUCUUUAUAGCAGUAUCCUACUCCUGUUACCAAUUCUCUGUAUUAAUUCAUUUUCACACUGCUAUAAAGAUACUACCUGAGAAUAGGUAAUUUACAAAUACAAGAGGCUUAACUGACUCACAGUUCUGCAUGGCUGGGGAAGCCUCAGAAAACUUGCAAUCAUGGCAGAAGGCAAAGGAGAAGCAAGAACCUUCUUCACAAGGCAACAGGAGAGAAAGAGAGAGCACAGGGAAAACUGCUAUUUUUUAAACCAUCAGAUCUCAUGAGAGCUUUCAUAUUAUCAUAAGAACAGCAUGGAGGAAACCGCCCCCAUGAUCUAAUCACUUCCCAUAAUGACCCUCCCUGGACACGUAGGAAUUACAUUUCAAGAUGAGAUUUGGGUGGGGAUACAGAGCCAACCCAAACCAUAUCACACAUAUUUUUGGGAAGUGGACAGUUGAUACACCAAUAAUUAAAGCAAUAAGAUAAAUGCAGAGACAGGAACCAGGCAACCCAGAAGAGGCAAUAUCUCAAUGCCUAGGGAUGAGAGAAUGAAAUUGAGGAGUCAAUUUGUCCUCUAGAUAUUGGUUACCAACUUUUUGCCUAGGACUAUUACAUUUUUAGCACUAUACAUUCUUUAACCCAGAAGCUCCUUCAGUUCCUGGCAAACUAGGUCAAUUGGUCACUCUAUCUAGACCUUCAGUGCCUAGCACAAACUUGUCCAACUUGUAGCCCGUGUGCUGCAUGUGGCCCAGGAUGGCUUCGGGUGUGGCCCAACACAAAUUCAUAAACUUUCUUGAAAGUUUAUGUGGUCUUUUUUUGUAAUUUUUUUUAACUCACUAGCUAUCUUUAGUGUUAAUAUAUGUUACGUGUGGCCCAAGACAGUUCUUCUUCUUCCAAUGUGGCCCAUGGAAACCAAAAGAUUGAACGCCCCGGCCUACCACUAUAUAUGGCACAAAGAUGGAAUCCAAAGGGUAUACUUAAUUAGUUGACAUAUGAUCUGAGUAAUCAUGAACAGUAAGUUUUAACCAAGCAUAUGGAAAAGGGAUUGCAAGGCUGUCUGGAGGAACAAUGCAGGCAGAAUUACUAAAGAACAUGGACAUGGUUUGAAAUUGUAAGUCAUCCUAUGUGAUGGAAGGAGCAGUGAGUACAGGAAAAGAGUUGGUGAUAAGACUGCAGAAAUAGACAUGGUUCAGAUGGUAAAAGUCAGGUUGAGGAGUAAGGGCUUUAUUUUAUCCUAUAGUCAAUAAGAGGAUUAAUAGAGAGGCAUUAACAGAGUCAGCUAGCUCUGAGAUAAUAUGAGCAUAGUAGGGAAGAAUCCAAAUUUCUUUACGUGUUUGUAUAUAGAGGCAUCUUUGUAUAUAUUUGCAUUUUGUAUAUUCAGGCAUUGGAAGAAUUGUCUGCCUGUUUCUGUUUCUGUUUUUGUUUUUAAUCAGGACCCCAUGUGUGACAGAAGAAAAAGUCUCAAGUUGGAGUUAAAAUUCUCCUGCAUCCUGAUCAGAUUCUGCUGCAUUCUCCAUGUGACCUCAGGUUUUGGUCUCAGGUCUGCUGUUAACUGCCGGUAUAACCCCAGGUAAGCCUCUUGAAUAUUCUGAGCCUGAAUCCCAGUUUUUAAUCUGUGAACUGAAGAAAGGUAAUUUUGUUUCACCCAUCUGUUGUUCUAUAAAUAAAUGAAUUAUGGUAAAUGUGCUUUGUAAACAAAAAUGUUAGCAGGGAUAUGAGACUUUAAAAAAGGACGAGAAAAGUUACAAAUUUUAAGUCAGAAGUUUGAUCUUCCACCUACAGGUUGGGAAAUGAUGGAUGAAGCAUCACUAGUAUCUUGGAGUAGUUCAGUUUCGCUCUGGAGACAGAGUGCCAAGGUCAAAUCACAGUACCACAUUUUACCAGCUAUGUGUGUGGCCUGAGGCAGGUUACUGAAUACAUUAUGUUUCAGUUUCCUCACCAGAUAAAUGUGGGUGAUAUUAAUUGGUUAUGAUAUUAACAUAAGAGGGUGAAUAUAUAUCAAUAGAGUCUAUAUUACAUAGUUGAUAUGAGUGUUAGCUGAGUUAAAAAUCUGCAAAGCCCUGUGAUCAGAGCCUGGCACGCUGACAUUUCUGAAUCCAUGGUAGUCAUUAUAUUUGCUUUGGUUACCUUUUCUGAAAUGAAAAAGAUUAGAAUACCUCUGCCUAGAGCAAAAUAUAAUAAAUUUUAAAAUACUUUGUCAACUUCAAAAGACAGUUCAAAUUUCAGUAGUAUGUAUGAAUAAAUACUGAUGAAAUACAUUUUGCUCAGCAGGGUGGAAUUCCUGGAUUUUGGGUCACACACACAUGCACACUUACACACAGAUGGCCAAACCCACUCACACACAUGGUUACAUACUCAGAGACACACAGACACAUGCACACACACACUCUCACACACAUGUACAAAUGCACUAGAGUUCUGAUCUGUCUCAGUACAAAAUCCACUUCCAUUUUUGAACGUGAAACCUGGAGGAAGAAGAACUAGGGUCUUCCAGAACAACCACAAUUUAAUUUGUUUUCAGGGAGUCCCCUAUCCCCCAGAGAUCAUUAAGCUACAAUUCAGAGUUAUUAAUCUCGAACAAGACAAGUCUUUUUCCUUUUUAGGUACUCAGUUAUUUCAAUUGUAAAAUGAAAAACUUGGUACAUAAGAGUCACUCUAUGAAUAUUUGUGGAAUGAAAUAAUUAAAUGAUCAAAAAGUAAAAUUAUGCAAAAUUAUUAUUGCUAUGAUGUGUUUAUUAUGACAAAAUCUUUCAAGGGUGCAUUUUUUAGAAAAAUUCUGUUAUGCAAUGAUUCCCGAAGUCAACCCAGCCACAAUUACCUUUUUUUCUGUAGAUUACUAAAAUAUUCAUAAAACUCAAUAGUCAGGAGCGAAUGUGUGUGAAAAAGUUUGUCCAUGAGACUCCAAGUCCUCUCUCUUGGGAAUCUCAGGCCUCUCAUUCAUACACUCAUUCAACAACUCUUUGCAGAAUACCUCCUUCGUAUCAAACACUGGCUGGUGGACAAUGACAGAAAAAUGAUAUCAACAGGUUCCUGAUUUUAAGGAGCACUCAGUCUAAAGGGAGAGUGGGAAGAUAUACAGUGGGUAUGGCAAAGACUUUCUGCAGUCGCUAACAUUUCAACUGAUGGGAAAAGUAAGCAGGAAUCCAUCAAGGUUUUAGGGUGUUCUGCCAGUGGGGGGCAGAUUGGCAGAGGCUUUGUUAAGAAAUGCUCUAUGUGUGCACCCAAACUGCAGGAGAAUUCCUGCCAUGGACCAUGGGCAGAAACUCAAGGACAUUGAGCCACAAAAUGCAAUAAAACUUAAAGCACUGUCUCUGACAAGAAAAAUAUGUGCUCACACCUAAUUGACCAAAGUAUGUCAUAUGGCCAAGGUCAAUGUCACAGGGUAAGUCACAUGUCAGGCGACCCAAUUGUUUAAUCUUAUUGCAGAAAAGGAGUAAAAAAUUGAGAAUAAAAAUAUAAUCUUCCAUAUUAAUUUUAUUAACAAGCUGAUAAUUUAGUAGGACCAAUGAGCUUUUAAUAGUAAUAGGAGGUGAGAUUAAAGCCUAAAGUAGAGACAACCCCUUGUGCAUAAACACAGUUCACACAGGUAAAAACCUGGGAGUUCUUUAACACUUUAUUUUCUCUUUUCCCCAAAAGUUAGCCAUUUUCUAAUUCAUGUGAAUUCCAUUUAUAACACUUAUAGUACUUAGCAAAGUAUCUGACACAGAGUUGGUAUUCAUUGUAUGUUUGGUAAAUGAAUGCAUGUAUGCUUGAAUAAAUACAUGGCCAUGCUGCCAGCCUUUUCUUGCAAAGUUUGUUUUAGAUUGGAUUCAAGCUUCUACAGCACCUGUGCUUAUCAACUGCGUCACACUAUUACAGUUCACAAUAAUUGUUUGUUCAUCCGCUUCUCAUUACACCAUACUCAUGGGCGAGGUCAGAGAAUGUGUCACCUCUCCCUAACCGAGGGCCUGGCACAGUGUUUGGCAUAUAAUAAGAGCUCAGCAAUGUUAUUUGAUUCCUAAUUAUCACUAGCAGCAUGAAUUUUUGACUACUUAACAUACAACUUAAGUCAAGAGGUGCUGAAUAACCACAGGUCACACAUUGAAUAAGUGUUAACACUAAAAUUUAUGACACAGUUUUUCUCCAAACUAGUCUUUAUACAGUACAUCAUAUUUAUUUCAGAGAUCAGCUAGAAGCUGAGAGAAAGCAUAUUUAAUAAACACAACAAAGACUAUAUAAAGAACUUAUACAAGUUUAAAAGAAAAACACAAACCCCAGGGAAAUAUGGACAGUUUGAAUAAGUUUGUCAUAAAAUAUAAAAAUAUGUAUGGUUUGUAGAAUAUGAGGGUAUAUCCAGCUCCAUUAGUGUUGAGAAAGAUGCAGUUUAAGACCAUGAUGUGCUACUAUAUUUUACAGUCAGUUGGUUAGUGAAAUUUCAAAAGUCUGACAAUAUCAGAUGCUAGAAAGAUACAAAUUUAUAGCAUAUCUUAUCUAUUACUGGUUGAUAUGUAAACUUGGCUGAAUCUCUUAAGAAAAUAGCUGAGUAUUGUAAACUUGUAUAUUCAAAUACUGAGAAAAGUACAUAUUUUACUUCUACAUGUAGAACCAAGGGAACCUUUUAAACAGGUUCACCAGAUAUGUGUCCACUAUCAUGCACAAAAUCUUUGAAACUAACAAAAACCUAUAAACAACCUAAUGCCAAUAGAGAGGAUAUGAGAUGAAUAAACUGUUGUAUAUUUACUAUUAUGGCCCUAAAAAUAAAUGUGGUAUAAUAAUAAUGAACAGUAUAGAUGAAUUACAAAAAUAUAUUCAAAUUUUAAAAAUACUUUGAAAAAUAUUAUGUAUGCUGUAAAUCCUUUUUAAAAAUAAAGUUGAACACAACUAUUAACAAACAAGUGCUUGCUUGAAAUGCCACACACAAAUAGGAAAACAAGGAAAUGAUGCACAGAGAAUUUUGGAUGGUGGUUACUUGAGAUGGGGUUACAUAAGAAAAAUAAAUGCAAGAGGACCCUAUACAGUUAUUGUUAAUGUUCUUCCUUAACUGUGGAUUCAUGGAUGUUUAUGACAUUAUUUCAAAUUAAUUGUAAUCACUUUUUGAAAAUUUGAAAAAGUGUAAUCCAUGGACCAAUGAUACAUUGCAUGGCCAAGGAUUAUAAAUAAUACAAUUGCACUUUAGAUCCAUUAACAAAAGAAGAAGACCUGAUUGAAUCCGAGUACCUAGGCUUAGAGUUAAAACAAAAUAUUGAUCUCGAGGAGAAAUUCUCUACCCCUUGAAAAUUUUCUUCAAGUAGGUCAAGUCCAGGUGUAAGAAGGAGACAGUCAAAUGGAGCACAAGAUAGGCCCAAGGAUUUGGGAUGCUCAAGUUGUGGGUCAGAGGCUGAUGAUACAAACAGGAAUCGGGAAGACACAAAGUAAUAUGGAGCAGGGCUGGACAGCAGUAUAGCUCUAGAAGACUGACAGUCACCAGCACACCCAUGGGAAAGGAGAGGUCAGAGAGGGCCAAUGGACCUGCUGGGUAAACAAUCAGGAUUUGAAGAUUCAAAACAAAUAAAGAAGAUGAUUGUAAAUACUGAACUAGAGUUCACAGAGAAGCUGUGCAGUGCACUGGAAUAAAUACUACAUUCUGGCUUCAACUCUGUUCCUGACUACUCUUAGGCUGUUAUGCAAAUCAUUUUCUCUGUAUAAGCCCCAGUUUCUUCCUAGGAUAACUUCCUCCAUUACAGAGGCUUUUGUGAAGCUCAAGUGAAAAAAUGUAUGUGGACAUGCUUUGGAAAUUACAAAAUGCCUAAUAAAGGUGAGAAGUUGGUAUUAUUUUGCUCACCGAAGACAUUGGAAAUAAAGUGAUCGUGAAAAAAUGUCAAGAUGCCCCUGAUAUUUUUAAGUACUCAUUCACCUGUCUGCCUCCACUAAUGGGUUAUAUGCUCUUAGAUUAUCGAGAUGUCAAUGUGUUCUCUGUAUACUCCUUGUAACUAUCUCAUUAGCUGAUUCCUUGUGGUCUACUAAGUAUUAAAGCAAUCAAUAAAAUAAUUGCAAACAACCUUAGUGCUGGCCUCUAUGUAAUCCAAUUUCCCAAUGACAGUGGUUUUAUAGCUAGAUCCCUUCCCCCCACCCUCCUUAUAGUUGGGACUCCAGCCUUUCUGAGAGAAAAAUCUAAUGAUACAAUUCAGUUUAAAAAUUCUCUUAAGCUCACUAAAGUCUAGAAGAACGAAAGCAUGAUAUUCAACACUGUUCAACAUAUUCUGUCUUCUCCCUACCUUUCCCAUCUUGUCUUCCACAAAGGCACACAGAGCCACCAAAUUCUAGAAAUGCUCCAUGCUCUUUUUAAGUCUUAAAAGCUUCACUGCUAUUCCUUGCACCUGGGAUUUUCUUGCCAUUUCUGACUCUACCUCUACCAAGUAAACUACAGUUUACUCAAACAGUCAAAGUUCACUCUACCUCUACCAAGUAAACUGCAGUUUACUCAAACAGUCAAAGUUCACACAUCUAUUUUCCUCACUAGCCCAAGACACAGUUUCACAAUCUUGUCUCUGCUGGAAACCACCACAUCUCAUGGAAUGAUGGGUGUGUGAGUGUUCUCGUGGCUAAAAUUACUUGUGUUUAUUUCUUAUGACCAGCACCUACUGGCAGUGCUUAGAAAGAGAAAACAUGCUCAAUAUAUGUUUAAUGCAAAGAUAGAAGAAAGAAUAUUACUUUUUCCAGUUGUAGUACAGGAGAUAUUCCUGGGAGGACAUCUGGGAAAGCAUUUCCUAUGGGUCUUUACACAAUGAUCCCCAUGGAGUAGAAGGAAAAAAACAUAUAAUAAUAUUUCAAGCUUCUCAAUUUUGCCCAGCCUUCAAGAGCUUAUUUCCUAUGGAACAUUGACUGUAUGGAGUUAAAUUAGAUUUUAUCAAAUAGUAAUUUGUCACAUAUGUAAUACAUGAAGGUGUGUGAUUGAUGUGGAAUCUUGAAAAAUCAUUCUAAUAUGUCAGAAGGACAAAUGGAUUAAUGAGAGGUAUAAUUUAUGGUCGUAGAUGCGGCUCUGUAUUAAGUUGGCAAAAUCAAAGCCUCACUUAAAGGUAAUCUACCUCACUCCAUUCUUAACUAAAGUGUCAUUGCCAGUAAGACCAGCAUAGUGGAAACAGCUCAAUUGUGUUGAAUUCAAGCUACUUAAUCGGCUUCCUUUGACUGAUUCUUCAGAGCAUUUGUUACUAUACUUGAUAAAUAUGUGACCCUGGAUGUUUUAUCACUUUAAUUUUUAUAUCACUAGAAAUAAAGUGUAUUUUAAUUUUUAAUAUUUAGGGCCAGGCUCACGUGUGUAAUCCCAGCACUUUGGGAGGCCAAGGCAGGUGGAUCACCUAAGGUCAGAAAUUUGAGACCAGCCUGGCUAACAUGGUGAAAUCCUGUCUCUACCAAAAAGUACAAAAAUUAGCUAGGUGUGGUGGUGCAUUCUUAUAGUCCCAGCCACUAGGGAACUUGAUGUGGGAGAAUUGCUUGAACCCAGGAGGAGGAGGCUGCAGUGAGCCUAGAUCGCACUACUGUACUUCAGCCUGGGCGACAGUGUGAGACACUGUCUCAAAUAAUAGUAAUAAAUAAUAAUAAUAAUGUUUAGUUUUAAUAUAACUAGAAAUGAAACUUCCCUUAGAACAUAAAUGUAUCUUUUCGCUGCCUUUUUUUUCCAUUUUAAGUCUAUAAGUUACUGCCAUGAACUAAAUUGUGUCUCUCCUAAAUUCAUAUGUUGAACCUCUAGCUCUCUGUGUGACUUUUUUGAAGAUAAAGUUUUUUUCUUUUUCUUUUUUGAUUUUUGUAGGUACAGUCUUUAAGAAGGUGAGGUAAAAUGAGGUCAUAAAAGUAGGUCCCUAACUGAGUAGAACUGGUGUUCUUAGAAGAAGAGGAAGAGAUACUAGAGCUCUCUCUCUCCCUAGUGUGCACACAGCAAAGGUCAGACAGAGUGGCCUCAUCAGACACCAACUCUGAAGGCACCUUGUUCUUGAACUUCUGACUUCCAGAACCGUGAGAAAAUAAAUUUCUGUUGUUUAACCCACUCAGUCUAUGGUAUUCUCUUAUGACAGAGUAAGUACACCAAUAUAGUUACAUAGAGUGGAAUACACAGAAUUUAAAUUUACAUUGCAAUAUGUUUUAACAUAUGCAUAUACUCAUAUAACCUCUCCCCAGUCAGAAGAGAACAUUUGCAACAUCUCGGAAAGCCUGGACUCUCUGCCACAUCCCAAGGCAGUCUGGCUUCAAACUCCCACCCAGGGGCAACUGCUACUCUGAUUUCUAUCUCCAUAAAUUAAGCUUUGCCUAUAAUAGAAUUUCAAAUAAAUGAAAUCUUACAAUACGUACUGUUUUGGUCAGAAUGUAUUAGCUCAACAUCACGUUUUUAAGAUUCACCCAUGUCAUUUCAUUCAUACAAAUAUUGAUAUUCCUGAAUGGUAUUUCAUUUUAUAAAUAUAUCAUCCUUUAUUUAUUCAUUGUCUUGUUAAUAGAUAUUUGAAUUAUUUUUAGUUUUAUUUUUAUAUUAUGAAUAAAGCUGCUCUGAACAUUCU
rnacentral:lncRNA from 1 species